rnacentral:rRNA from 1 species
GACGAACGCUGGCGGCGUGCUUAACACAUGCAAGUCGAACGGAAAGGCCCUGCUUGCAGGGUACUCGAGUGGCGAACGGGUGAGUAACACGUGGGUGAUCUGCCCUGCACUUCGGGAUAAGCCUGGGCAACUGGGUCUAAUACCGGAUAGGAGCCAUUUUUAGUGUGAUGGUUGGAAAGUUUUUUCGGUGUAGGAUGAGCUCGCGGCCUAUCAGCUUGUUGGUGGGGUAAUGGCCUACCAAGGCGGCGACGGGUAGCCGGCCUGAGAGGGUGGACGGCCACAUUGGGACUGAGAGACGGCACAGACUGCUAAGGGAGGCAGCAGUGGGGAAUAUUGAACAAUGGGCGCAAGCCUGAUGCAGAGGCGCCGCGUGGGGGAUGACGGCCUUCGGGGUGUAAACUCCUUUCGCAAGGGACGAAGCUUUUUGUGACGGUACCUAGAUAAGAAGCACCGGCUAACUACGUG